UCUAGAUGUCACUGUAGGUCAGAGUGACCCACCUCCACCCCAGAUGGCCUUGGGCAGCUGUAGAGCAGGAGCCAUCUGUGGGGCCUCUGAAGCCCUGUGUGGCCAUGCAUCCAGGCUCCAAGCCUGUGAGAGAACUUCAGUGCCAACAGCCCAGUGCUGGGGACCAUGGUGGGCUCAGCCUUUGGGGAAGAGGGUCAUGACAAGGGCCAGUGUACACGGAGGCCAAAGUGGGCCUCAGAGGGCUGCACGCCUUUGUCCCCCGGAAGGCCCCCACCCCCACUGCCUCCCUCUGCAAAGGCAGGUCUGGGCACCUUCCCACCAUGGGGCUGUGAGGACUGACUGGUCCUCACAGGAGGGAGCCUCCGAUGCCCGGCCCACCCCUGGGCUCUGGGGGCAGCCUUCCAGGCCAGCUGUUGCAGGGUGUCCUCCGUGCUGUGUUUGUCACUUUACAGGGGUAGUGGGCAGGCCCAGCAGGGCUGGCCGCCUGUGCUCCUGAACAGCCCCUGUGCAGACCUCCAGGAAGAUGGAGCUGGGAGCCCGCCUUCCUCGGGGUGGCUGGGAGGAGAGGCAGUUGCCAUGGAGACGGCAUCUGGCCUAUUCACUCGAGUUUCAGAGGCAAACGAAGAGAUAAGAGAAACGGGUGAACCCCCAGACGCGAGGCCUCAUUUGCUUUCACCCUCGAGCCUGUGCGUGGGGCUGACAGGGAGGGGAACACGGUAAAGCUCUCGAGACGACCCAGUUAGGGUUUGUCCACGGCUCUUGGAUACUCGGCGCACCCGGCCUGGUUGGACUGUUUUGCUGCCAAAAGAUUUUGCAGCAUCAGAUUCUUGGCAGUGGGACAAACAGAAGGUCAAGGCCAGACACAAGCUCCUCCCACCCCAGAGGCCUCAGGCAGGGCCAGGAGGGGCAGCUGUCAGCACCCAGGGCACUGGGGCUGGAGUGGGAGGGAGGCACCCACACAGACACCCACCUCCUGGGGCUGGGGGAGAGGACUUGGGAUGAGUUUGCAACCUUGGACCGAGCACCACAGAGGAAGAACAUCCAAAGGAUAAAUAUGCAUUUGUAUGUCCAUGCUGCACGCAGGCACACUCGCAUGCACACACACACACACACACACACACACACUCCCCCGUGCAUGCGAAGUGCUUGCUCGUGAGCAUUCACAGCUCCCCUGGAGCCGGGCUGUGCCAGUGCCAAGGGUGCAGGCUGAGACACGGGGCCUCAAGGACCUGCCAUUGGUGGGGACAGAGAAACCAGCGCCUCUGACAGCUCAGACGCCAGUGGGAGGCUGGUGGCUACAGGCUGGGCCGAAGCCCCUGCACUUCAGCAGCUGAAGACCCUGGAGCACAGGCUUGGCACCAGGGGCUGAGGGGGUCGCCACACACAGGAGAAAAUGCCCACAGGCGUCCGAAGGAGGAAGGAGAGACCUAGGCCUGUCCACCACACACUGAGUGAGCCUAGGACCAGAAGCCUGAGUCACAGUGCACGGAGAGCAGCAGGAGUCCUGAGGCACGGUGGCUCGGUGGCACGGUGGCACAGUGGCACGGUGGCACAGUGCUGGGAAACAGUAGCCUUGGUCACGUCAGAGCCGUGCAUGUCCCAGCAGGCCACACCAGAGGGUUUGCCCCAGACAGAGGCCUGUGCCACACCAAGGCUGCAUGCAAGCAGUCACCUGACCCACUGUGCCCAGAAACGGUGGGGUCCCCAGUGGGAGAGGCUUCUGAGCUCCGGGUGUGCGUGGCGUCACAGAGGAACGACAGGGAGCCCAGAGGUGCUCACAGGGGCCUGAAGGCGGUCGAUUCCUGCGACCUCAAGGAAGAAUGGCCCAUCGCCCCUCAGGGAAAAGACAAACCAGCUGCCCAGCCGCUGCCCUGCAAGCACCAGGCUGUCCCUCUCAGGCUGGCUUCCCCUGCAGGACAGCAGAUGGGGCCUUUGGACUCCUUUUGCAGCCCUGAGCUCAUGAGUCCGGACCUGUGCACUACUUCCCACCUGUGGGCACAGACGGGAGGCCCCGGCUCUGCUGAACAGGGAGACCUGAGUGCAGACGCUCGCCCGCUCCUCCCUUCUGUUCUGGGACAGGUGAGCACCUGUCCUCGGACUCAGGAUCAGCUGGGGCUGCCGUGAAGACACUGUGUGAGCUUGGCGCCUCUGGGCCUGGUUUUCGGGCUGUAAAACCAGCGGCUGGAGCAAGGUGAUCUCCCAGCUCACCCUCCAGGACUCCCCGACCCCUCAGUGCUGCCAGCAGGUCCAAACGAAGCGAGCACCUACAGGCCCCAACCUAUCGCUAUGUCCAGGGUCCGACCUCAGUGGCAAAGGCGUCUCCUCCCAAACUAUUUACCCCCCCGCCUCCGAUUAGGGCUAAUUUAAUGUGCUCUGCAGUGAUCGGGAGUGACUGCUUCGGACCAACGGCCUCAUCAAAACCUUGUUGCUGUAUUUAAUCUGGAAUUAAACUGUUUGCUGUUCAAGGUCUGGUGUGAGCACUUCA